GCCGGGUGUGGUGGCGCGUGCCUGUAAUCCCAGCUACUUGGGAGGCUGAGGCAGGAGAAUCACUUGAACUCGGGAGGCAGGGGCUGUGGUGAGACGAGAUCAUGCCACUGCACUCCAGCCUGGGUGACAGAGUGAGACUCCAUCUCAA
ensembl:misc_RNA Metazoa_SRP Metazoan signal recognition particle RNA